GAUGAAGAACGUAGCGAAAUGCGAUAAGUAAUGCGAAUUGCAGAAUUCAGUGAAUCAUCGAAUCUUUGAACGCACAUUGCGCCCGCUAGUAUUCUGGCGGGCAUGCCUGUCUGAGCGUCAUUUCAACCCUCGCCCCCGGCUUUUGCUGGGAGCGGUGUUGGGGAUCGGCCGCCCGUCACUGGGAGGCCGGCCCCGAAAUAGAGUGGCGACCACGCCGUGUGCUCCUCUGCGUAGUAGUAAAUCACCUCGCAGGCGGACAGCGGUGCGGCCUGCCGUAAAACCCCCAACUCUUUCUGGUUGACCUCAGAUCAGGUAGGAAUACCCGCUGAACUUAAGCAUAUCAAAGCGGAGGA
rnacentral:misc_RNA from 1 species